rnacentral:lncRNA from 1 species
UUUUUUCAAAUAGCCCCCACUGCUAUUGUUUUCUUUUCCCCACAACUUUUAAUUUUCUUUUUGGCUAAAUUAUAGAAAAUUUCUUAUAAAUACAUAUCUUUUCACUUUUCCUUCCUAACUUUAAAAAAUUUAUAUUUUACCUCUCAACAUUUCAAGUUGUUGCAUUUAGUCCCUCCCUAUCAGGGUUUCAUCACCCCUCCAUCCAUUUUUUUAUAAUUUAUAUCAAAAAUACCUUUGAAAAUGACAUAAAUAUAUUAAAAAAAAAAAUUUUACAAAAGAAAUAAGGGUGAUUUGAU